GAGCUUACAGUGAUUCUGCUCGAGCGCCUUCACUUUCUGCCGCCGCUCAACCAAAUUAUCUCAUUUAUUUCCAUAGAAAUCGCAGCGCAAGCCGAUCGGACUUCACAAUCAGCAUCGGAAUAACAUUUCAAAGCGUUUCCCCGCCUCUCUUCCCGAUUUCUGGACUGCGAGACAUGGAUAGAUGGAAAAGUUUGGCUGUUUUUGGUGUCUGUGAGGGAGUUCGAUACGGGCGAUGAGUCCCGUGAAGAGAUUUCACACAUCUGACUGGAAAAACACUAAUUUACUGCGCUCAUCUACACAAUUAACCACUUAUUAAACUAAGCCAGUGGAGAUAUGACUAUAGAAGCGGAUCUCUGUCCCUCACACACACACACACAAGUGCUGGAGGUGUGAUGUUGAGCUGUGUGUGGCAAGACGAGCAGAAUCACUGAUGGCUGGAUGUAGGGGUCCGAUGGUGUGUUAAAGGCGCCAUGGGGAGCUGCUGUAGCUGUCCCGAUAAAGAGAUCAUCCCUGACAACCAUCACAACAAAUUCA